AACUGUACCGCAAACCAACGCAGGUUCGUCGUAAAAAGGCUUAAAUUCAGGUAAAGGAACUCGGCAAAAAAUUUAAGGUGCUAGCAUCUUGAAGGUAUUGAGCAACGACUGUUUCCCAAAAACACAGGACUUUGCAAAGACAAAUGUUAAAGUAAAAAGUCUGAGGCCUGCCCAAAGGCUAAGCAAACGGCAGCUGUAACUCUAACGGCUCUAAGGUAGCGAAAUUCCUUGACAUUUAAAUGGUGUCCAGCAUGAAUGGCUUAACGACUGCUCGUCUGUCUCUAUCUGAAACGCUGUGAAUUUGAAUUGCUUGUGCAGAUGCAGGCAUAUGCGCAAGGGACGAAGAGACCCUAAGCAGCUUUAGAGGAAACAUUUUCCUAUCGGGAAUAGCAUGGAAUAAACCACAAAAAAUUAAGUACGAAAAUUAUUCCUCUUUUUCUGGGACGGACGCCUUCAACAAAGAAACGUAGGCGCGCAACAGCGAAAAACUUGACUUCUAUGACAACUAUCAACGAAGAGGAGAACAUCCAGCGAUACGAACAGAAAGAAAAUAGCA
rnacentral:rRNA from 1 species